UUCUCAUAGGACUUCCUCUGGCUGCAGCCAGCCAGGCAGCCCAGAUGACACACGUUAGAUCAAGAAUAGAAAAAGAAUCCAGGCCUCCACAUCGGAUUACAUCUGACAAGCAACAUGGACCCAGAUUUGUCCACUCUGAAGAUCUUCCUUGGCUCACAGAACUUUUCCUUCCCUCUGUCAUCCAAAAAUGUUUCGGACCAUAUGCAGCUAAAUGGAAACAGAUGCCCCUCGCGCCAGUGAAAGAAAGAGAGAGAAAGGAAGAAAAAAAGAAAAAAUUGAUUUACAGCGUCUAACAGUUCCAUUCAACAGUGCAUUAGCCUGUGCUACCUAUGGGCUUCCACAAAAAAUAUGGAUAAAUCGAACCAGGAAAUGGAUCAUCUUCGCAUGCCACCGAAAAAGGAAUCUGUUGUUACUCAAGGCGGAGCUCUAGGCUCAGGGACUGUCUCUAAUUUUAGCACCUGGAGUUCCAUAUAAGCAUACCAUAUAUUUUAGCCAUGACACACAGAAACAAUAAAUCCUAAAACCAAACACCAGACAUAGAGGCAAACACUAUGUUCUCAUGACUUAAACGAGUCAGUCAUUUGAAAUGGUAAUAAGCUCCUUUAAUGAGAAUAGAGUGAGAG